rnacentral:rRNA from 1 species
CACCGCGGUUAUACGAAGAGGCUCAAAAUAAUAAAAAUCGGCGUAAAGGGUGGUUAAGUAUAAAACCACUAAAGUUAAACAUCUUACAAGCUGUUAUACGCAUACGAAGAUAGGAUACUCAUUUACGAAAGUGACUUUACAAAACUGAACCCACGAAAGCUAUGAAA